rnacentral:lncRNA from 1 species
CUGGGCAUAGAACAAGUGAAAUUUGUCUUCAGAUGAACUAUGGACUGGAAGCAAUUUUGUUGUAAAAAAGGUGAAAUGGAGUCAAAAGCUAUUGUGAAGGGAAAAGUGAGGCUCAAAAAAGGUACAAUGGUUGUACAAGGCAGUAUUAGGACAGUCUCUGAAGAAACAAACUGGUGGUGUCUGGUGCCAUGGGUUAUUCUUCAGUCUAUUCAUUGUGGUCUCUCCAUCCUGUUUGUGCUCAAUGAUAAAGUGGCCUCUGGUUUGUGACUGGCUGUAAUUAACUGGAAUUGAAGGAAUAAACAGCAUAGAAGCUGAUCACAGGAUCACAGGAGGGUGAGGGAGAAGGGGAAGACCCUCACUCAUUGAAAAGAGCAUAUCUUGUUAGGCAGGAGAAAGAGAUGAAAUGGGAAAUUAAGUAACUGAUACACCAAAUUAUCCUUAAGAACUGUUCCCUGCUUGUGCUGAGAUCUGUGCCUUCACCCUCGGUUUGAGACUCUCCUCGGAACCUAAUUUCUCUCCCCGUCUGCGCCGAUCUCCCCCCUGGCCCCGGAACCAACCUUUUGGUGAGACUGCAGAUUUUCUUCGGCCGGUGAGUUAUGCACACCUGCAUUUUUGAUUUCCUUCACAAGCUAAUUGUACAAUAAUUCAGAGCCUGAUUCUUUU